rnacentral:rRNA from 1 species
GAUGAACGCUAGCGGCAGGCCUAAUACAUGCAAGUCGAACGGCAGCACGGCAGUAGCAAUACUGUGGGUGGCGAGUGGCGGACGGGUGAGGAAUACAUCGGGAUCUACCCUGUUGUGGGGGAUAACGUAGGGAAACUUACGCUAAUACCGCAUAAGAACUGAGGUUGAAAGCGGCGGACCGCAAGGCGUCGCGCGAUUGGAUGAACCGAUGUCCGAUUAGCUAGUUGGCGGGGUAAAGGCCCACCAAGGCGACGAUCGGUAGCUGGUCUGAGAGGACGACCAGCCACACUGGAACUGAGACACGGUCCAGACUCCUACGGGAGGCAGCAGUGGGGAAUAUUGGACAAUGGGCGCAAGCCUGAUCCAGCCAUGCCGCGUGGGUGAAGAAGGCCUCGG